AUGUUUUCAGGACACAACAUGGAGGAUGACUUUCUGACGAACACUGUUGCAAGAUGCUGUGGUAGCAAGGAUGCAACCAACGCCAGCCAGCCACAAUGAAACGCGGCUUAAUGUCGUUGGAAUGAUUCACAUCCAUAAUAAGACGAGCCAUUGAACAAUGAUAGAUGGGGUGGCCCUGAUCAAUAAUAGCGCAUGCACCCUCUCUGACAAAUGCUCCGCUGCCCUCUGCAUAUAUUUGUUGGCCUCAACGCAUCUCAUCAACUCUAGUACAUGGUGUGGCAGCUAGAUGGAACUGAUUAACAAGCAGUCCAAAGUCAUGACCCUGCGUGACUCCUGAGACACGGAACACGUGAGAUUGCAAUUGGCUACUCCUUCAACCACAUAUCCAUGAGUGGGAAAUGAUUGGAAAAUGAUUUACAGGUGGAAACAGGACAGCCCAAGAUUCAAAAUAUUCGUGAUGAGGCACUUCUCAUUCUAAAUCAAGGACUGGGUGGCUGAUGGACAGAACUGGACUGGCUGGAACUUCGGACUAUAUGAUUUUUGAAGAACCUUGAAUCAGCUAAAUAGUAUUUUCGAAUUGUAGAAAUAUGCUAUCACGGUUACAUCAAUCAUUGAAAUAUGUGGAUGUUUUUGGAAAAGAAUGAACUUGCUUCGAAGAGAAAAAAUCUAAAAAAUAUUCCCAUCAUGAACAUCCUAAGUUUUUCUGAGACUGAGACUAAAAAUUGAACCUGAAUUCAAGUGUAUGGAACAUAACCAACUUUCUGGACUAGCCU